rnacentral:rRNA from 1 species
GACGAACGCUGGCGGCGUGCUUAACACAUGCAAGUCGAACGGAAAGGCCCUGCUUUUGUGGGGUGCUCGAGUGGCGAACGGGUGAGUAACACGUGAGUAACCUGCCCUUGACUUUGGGAUAACUUCAGGAAACUGGGGCUAAUACCGGAUAGGAGCUCCUGCUGCAUGGUGGGGGUUGGAAAGUUUCGGCGGUUGGGGAUGGACUCGCGGCUUAUCAGCUGGUUGGUGGGGUAGUGGCUUACCAAGGCUUUGACGGGUAGCCGGCCUGAGAGGGUGACCGGCAACAUAGGGACUGAGAUACGGCCCAGACCCCUACGGGAGGCAGGAGUGGGGAAUAUUGCACAAUGGGCGGAAGCCGGAUGCAGCACGCCGCGUGCGGGAUGACGGCCUUCGGGUUGUAAACCGCUUUCGCCUGUGACGAAGCGUGAGUGACGGUAAUGGGUAAAGAAGCACCGGCUAACUACGUG